AACAAUAUGGCUGAUGAAGGCGGUAAAGUGUAAAUUUAUUUAUGAGUAGGACUCUGUUGUUA
rnacentral:tRNA from 1 species